AUUCUUUCCCCUCAUGAUACAGUUGUGAUAAAACUCUUCAGAAAUGAAAAUGAUUUGAUAUGAGUCUCCUCCUACUGACUGCAGAGGAGCCUUAUGACAGAGAACUGGGUCUUUGUAAUAUAACAAUGAGUAAGGUCUUUUACCUGCUCUUUUGUAAAGUGUCUUCAGAUAACAUUUGUUAUGAAUUGGUGCUAUACAAAUAAAGAUUGAUUGAGAACUCUUUUAAUCAAGCUGUGAACAUCAGACCGAACAACUCGGCACCAACUCAUACUAGUUCUUCCUUUACAGCACCUCACCUCUGUAAAUGUGGGAGAACUCACAAUGGCCUCCAGUUAAAAACAAGUUCAAGUUCUAAAUAAGGUGUUCCUCUGGCCCCGCCCACUGAGGCAAACCAAUGAGAUUGUAUAUAUCUCCAGAGCAGAAAAGUUUGAGGAAGUCAAAUUAAAACCAUGUCAAAGUAGAGGAGAACAUCUGUGCAGCACAGAGGCUGUUUAGUUUAGAAGAACAUUACUCAUCUGCUGUCUGUUUGUCUUCAACAACUCCAAAGACAUGCUGCUUUACCUCUUUUUACUUUGCUCUCACUUUAUAGCCCUGGGCUCCAUGAACAGCAUAAACCCAGAAAGAACUGAAGAAAAAGUUGAAGAGGGAGGAAACAUCAACCUGACCUGUACAUAUGAUGGUCAAAUCCAGAACAUCCAGUGGUACAGAGAAAACCAGAGAUCCAGACCAGAGUUCCUGCUCUACAUCACAGAGGGAGGAUUGGUUCAUAAACAAGUUUCUUAUUUCUCAGCUUACAUUAACAAAACGGAGAAAAGAGUAAAUCUGGAGAUCUCCUCUGCUGCACUGACUGACUCUGCUGUGUACUACUGUGCUCUGAGGCCCACAGUGACAGGAAACACCACAACUCUGUACAAAAACCUCUGGAGAGAAGACAACACAAUACUCCACAACAUCCACUAGAGGGAGUCACACACUGAUAAACUUCUAUGGUAUGUCAUGAUGAAGGCUUGAUGUUUCUCAAUUCAGAAAUGAAACUAGUUCAACAGAUGAGUCUCCUCCCAAUGACUGCAGAGGUGUUUGAUGACAGAGAACUGUUUGAUUCCAGCUGUGAACAUCAGACCAAACUCUACUCACAAAACUGAAUCAUACUGAACAUUCAGUUACAGCAUCUCACCUCUACAAACAUGGAACAACUCACUGUUAUUUUGUUCUUCUCAGCUCUCAUAGG